CCUACGGGAGGCAGCAGUGAGGAAUAUUGGUCAAUGGACGAGAGUCUGAACCAGCCAAGUAGCGUGAAGGAUGACUGCCCUAUGGGUUGUAAACUUCUUUUAUAUGGGAAUAAAACGUUCCACGUGUGGGAUUUUGUAUGUACCAUAUGAAUAAGGAUCGGCUAACUCCGUGCCAGCAGCCGCGGUAAUACGGAGGAUCCGAGCGUUAUCCGGAUUUAUUGGGUUUAAAGGGAGCGUAGGUGGAUUGUUAAGUCAGUUGUGAAAGUUUGCGGCUCAACCGUAAAAUUGCAGUUGAAACUGGCAGUCUUGAGUACAGUAGAGGUGGGCGGAAUUCGUGGUGUAGCGGUGAAAUGCGUAGAUAUCACGAAGAACUCCGAUUGCGAAGGCAGUUCACUGGACUGCAACUGACACUGAGGCUCGAAAGUGUGGGUAUCAAACAGGAUUAGAUCCCCAGUAGUC
rnacentral:rRNA from 1 species